UACGAAGGGGGCUAGCGUUGUUCGGAAUUACUGGGCGUAAAGCGCACGUAAGCGGAUCGUUAAGUCGGGGGUGAAAUCCCAGGGCUCAACCCUGGAACUGCCUUCGAUACUGGCGAUCUUGAGUUCGAGAGAGGUUGGUGGAAUGCCGAGUGUAGAGGUGAAAUUCGUAGAUAUUCGGCGGAACACCAGUGGCGAAGGCGGCCAACCGGCUCGACACUGACGCUGAGGUGCGAAAGCGUGGGGAGCAAACAGG
rnacentral:rRNA from 1 species